rnacentral:rRNA from 1 species
AACGAACGCUGGCGGCGUGCCUAACACAUGCAAGUCGUGCGAGAAAGUUCCUUCGGGAGCGAGUAAAGCGGCGCACGGGUGAGUAACACGUAGGUAACCUGCCCCCCAGUCUGGAACAACUAGAGGAAACUCUAGCUAAUGCCGGAUGAGACCACGAUCCCUUCGGGGGUUGCGGCCAAAGAUGGCCUCUACUUGUAAGCUAUCGCUGAGGGAUGGGCCUGCGGGCCAUUAGCUUGUUGGUGAGGUAACGGCUCACCAAGGCUGUGAUGGCUAGCUGGUCUGAGAGGAUGACCAGCCACACUGGGACUGAGACACGGCCCAGACUCCUACGGAGGCAGCAGUGGGGAAUAUUGCGCAAUGGCGAAAGCCUGACGCAGCGACGCCGCGUGGGUGAUGAAGGCC